rnacentral:rRNA from 1 species
UACGUAGGGGGCAAGCGUUGUCCGGAUUUAUUGGGCGUAAAGAGCUCGUAGGCGGCUCGUUGCGUCGGCUGUGAAAACCCGCAGCUCAACUGUGGGCUUGCAGCUGAUACGGGCGGGCUGGAGUUCGGUAGGGGAGGCUGGAAUUCCUGGUGUAGCGGUGAAAUGCGCAGAUAUCAGGAGGAACACCGGUGGCGAAGGCGGGUCUCUGGGCCGACACUGACGCUGAGGAGCGAAAGCGUGGGGAGCGAACAGG